GACGAACGCUGGCGGCGUGCCUAAUACAUGCAAGUUGAGCGCUGAAGGUUGGUACUUGUACCAACUGGAUGAGCAGCGAACGGGUGAGUAACGCGUGGGGAAUCUGCCUUUGAGCGGGGGACAACAUUUGGAAACGAAUGCUAAUACCGCAUAAAAACUUUAAACACAAGUUUUAAGUUUGAAAGAUGCAAUUGCAUCACUCAAAGAUGAUCCCGCGUUGUAUUAGCUAGUUGGUGAGGUAAAGGCUCACCAAGGCGAUGAUACAUAGCCGACCUGAGAGGGUGAUCGGCCACAUUGGGACUGAGACACGGCCCAAACUCCUACGGGAGGCAGCAGUAGGGAAUCUUCGGCAAUGGACGAAAGUCUGACCGAGCAACGCCGCGUGAGUGAAGAAGGUUUUCGGAUCGUAAAACUCUGUUGGUAGAGAAGAACGUUGGUGAGAGUGGAAAACUCAUCAAGUGACGGUAACUACCCAGAAAGGGACGGCUAACUACGUG
rnacentral:rRNA from 1 species